AUUGAACGCUGGCGGCAGGCCUAACACAUGCAAGUCGAGCGGAUGAAGGGAGCUUGCUCCUGGAUUCAGCGGCGGACGGGUGAGUAAUGCCUAGGAAUCUGCCUGGUAGUGGGGGAUAACGUCCGGAAACGGGCGCUAAUACCGCAUACGUCCUGAGGGUGAAAGGGGGGGAUCUUCGGACCUCACGCUAUUAGCUGAGCCUAGGUCGGAUUAGCUAGUUGGUGGGGUAAAGGCCUACCAAGGCGACGAUCCGUAACUGGUCUGAGAGGCUGAUCAGUCACACUGGAACUGAGACACGGUCCAGACUCCUACGGGAGGCAGCAGUGGGGAAUAUUGGACAAUGGGCGAAAGCCUGACGCAGCCAUGCCGCGUGUGUGAAGAAGGUCUUCGGAUUGUAAAGCACUUUAAGUUGGGAGGAAGGGCAGUAAGUUAAUACCUUGCUGUCUUGACGUUACCAACAGAAUAAGCACCGGCUAACUUCGUG
rnacentral:rRNA from 1 species